AAAUUGAAGAGUUUGAUCAUGGCUCAGAUUGAACGCUGGCGGCAGGCCUAACACAUGCAAGUCGAACGGUAACAGGAAACAGCUUGCUGUUUCGCUGACGAGUGGCGGACGGGUGAGUAAUGUCUGGGAAACUGCCUGAUGGAGGGGGAUAACUACUGGAAACGGUAGCUAAUACCGCAUAACGUCGCAAGACCAAAGAGGGGGACCUUCGGGCCUCUUGCCAUCGGAUGUGCCCAGAUGGGAUUAGCUAGUAGGUGGGGUAACGGCUCACCUAGGCGACGAUCCCUAGCUGGUCUGAGAGGAUGACCAGCCACACUGGAACUGAGACACGGUCCAGACUCCUACGGGAGGCAGCAGUGGGGAAUAUUGCACAAUGGGCGCAAGCCUGAUGCAGCCAUGCCGCGUGUAUGAAGAAGGCCUUCGGGUUGUAAAGUACUUUCAGCGGGGAGGAAGGGAGUA
rnacentral:rRNA from 1 species